UAAUACGUAGGGUGCAAGCGUUAAUCGGAAUUACUGGGCGUAAAGCGUGCGCAGGCGGUUUUAUAAGACAGAGGUGAAAUCCCCGGGCUCAACCUGGGAACUGCCUUUGUGACUGUAAGGCUAGAGUGUGUCAGAGGGGGGUAGAAUUCCACGUGUAGCAGUGAAAUGCGUAGAUAUGUGGAGGAAUACCGAUGGCGAAGGCAGCCCCCUGGGAUAACACUGACGCUCAUGCACGAAAGCGUGGGGAGCAAACAGGAUUAGAUACCCUGGUAGUCCACGCCCUAAACGAUGUCUACUAGUUGUCGGGACUUAAUUGUCUUGGUAACGCAGCUAACGCGUGAAGUAGACCGCCUGGGGAGUACGGUCGCAAGAUUAAAACUCAAAGGAAUUGACGGGGACCCGCACAAGCGGUGGAUGAUGUGGAUUAAUUCGAUGCAACGCGAAAAACCUUACCUACCCUUGACAUGGUUGGAAUCCCGAAGAGAUUUGGGAGUGCUCGCAAGAGAACCAAUACACA
rnacentral:rRNA from 1 species